CCCUGCCAUUUGUACACACCGCCCGUCGCUCCUACCGAUACCGGGUGGUGUGCUGAACUUACUGGACUGUUCGCAAGAAGGUACGUAAAGCUUAUCACCUAGAGGAAGGAGAAGUCGUAACAAGGUUU
rnacentral:rRNA from 1 species